rnacentral:rRNA from 1 species
CCUACGGGAGGCCGCAGUGGGGAAUAUUGGACAAUGGGCGCAAGCCUGACCCAGCAACGCCGCGUGAAGGAAGAAGGCUUUCGGGUUGUAAACUUCUUUUAAGGGGGAAGAGCAGAAGACGGUACCCCUUGAAUAAGCCACGGCUAACUACGUGCCAGCAGCCGCGGUAAUACGUAGGUGGGAAGCGUUGUCCGGAUAUACUGGGUGUAAAGGGCGUGCAGCCGGAGAGACAAGUCAGAUGUGAAAUCCACGGGCUCAACCCGUGAACUGCAUUUGAAACUGUUUCCCUUGAGUGUCGGAGAGGUAAUCGGAAUUCCUUGUGUAGCGGUGAAAUGCGUAGAUAUAAGGAAGAACACCAGUGGCGAAGGCGGAUUACUGGACGAUAACUGACGGUGAGGCGCGAAAGCGUGGGGAGCAAACAGGAUUAGAUACCCCUGUAGUC